UGGGAGGAUAUAGAAUUGCUUCAAAAACUGAAAAUAAAAUUUGAUUUUCAGUUUAUGAAGCAAUUCUAUAUCCUUCU